AAUAUUGUCGUCUACCACAUAAUCUCUCCGGGAACCGUCGGAUUCACGAUUCGGCUUCUCUGGAAUUUUUCUUCAUCAAAGUCCCAUGGCUGGUAGAAAAUAAAAGUUCUGGGAUCAUCACUUCAGUAGAACGAUAGCUCAGCAACAUGGCAUCAAGAUCAACAAACCAUAAUCAAGAAGGAUAAUGAAUUUAUGGGGACAAACCGUCUUUUUCUCGAUGAACAUGUUAACCUUCUUACAUGUUUUCAUGUAUUUGUAAUCUUCUUACAUGUUUUAUGUUCUUAGUAGCUAAAUGAUCAUAGUUUCAGUGCUCAGUAA